rnacentral:rRNA from 1 species
AUACGUAGGGGGCGAGCGUUGUCCGGAUUUAUUGGGCGUAAAGGGUGCGUAGGCGGCCUUGUAAGUCAGAUGUGAAAGAUCAUGGCUUAACUGUGGUAAGCAUUUGAAACUGCAGGGCUUGAGUACAGGAGAGGAGAGUGGAAUUCCUAGUGUAGCGGUGAAAUGCGUAGAUAUUAGGAGGAAUACCAGUGGCGAAGGCGACUCCCUGGACUGAUACUGACGCUGAGGCACGAAAGCGUGGGGAGCAAACAGGAUUAGAUACCCUGGUAGUCCACGCUAUAAACGAUGAGUGCUAGGUGUCGGGGGUCAAACCUCGGUGCCGCAGUUAACACAUUAAGCACUCCGCCUGGGGAGUACGGCCGCAAGGCUGAAACUCAAAGGAAUUGACGGGG